AUGGCCUCUAAAACUUCAAGCUGCAAUCUGGACCCUAUUCCAACUAAACUACUGAAAGAGCUGCUUCCUGUGCUUGGCCCUCCUAUGUUGAACAUAAUAAACGGCUCUCUAUCCAACGGAUGUGUACCAAACUCACUAAAAGUGGCAGUAAUAAAGCCUCUCUUGAAAAAGCCAAAACUUUGACCCAGAAAAUAUUAAAAACUAUUGGCCUAUAACGAAUCUUCCAUUUCUCUCAAAAUUUUUAGAAAAGGCUGUUGCGCAGCCUUGAAGACAAACAAUGUAUACGAAAUGCUUCUGUCUGGUUUUAGACCCCAUCAUAGCACUGAGACUGCACUUGUGAAGGUGGUAAAUUACCUUUUAAUGGCAUCAGACCGAGGCUCUGCAUUUGUCCUCGUGCACCUAGACCUUAGUGCUGCUUUUGAUACCAUCGAUCACCACAUUCUUUUGGAGAGAUUGGAAACCCAAAUUGGUCUGCACGGACAAGUUCUGGCCUGGUUUAAAUCUUAUCUGUUGGAAAGAUAUCAGUUUGUCUCUGUGAAUGGUUUGUCCUCUGACAAAUCAACUGUAAAUGUUGGUGUUUCUCAAGGUUCUGUUUUAGGAUCACUAUUGUUUUCACUAUACAGUGGGGGGGGAGUAUUUAGUCAGCCACCAAUUGUGCAAGUUCUCCCACUUAAAAAGAUGAGAGAGGCUUGUAAUUUUCAUCAUAGGUACAUGACAGACAAAAUGACAAAAGAAAAUCCAGAAAAUCACAUUGUCGGAUCUUUUAUGAAUUUAUUUGCAAAUUAUGAUGGAAAAUAAGUAUUUGGUCAAUGACCUCUUGGGGAUGUCAUUCGAAAACAUAAUGUUAACUUUCACUGCUAUGUGAAUGACACACAGCUGUACAUUUCAAUGAAACAUGGUGAAGCCCCAAAAUUGCCCUCGCUAGAAGCCUGUGUUUCAGACAUAAGGAAGUGGAUGGCUGCAAACCUUCUACUUUUAAACUCAGUCAAAACAGAGAUGAGUGUUCUAGGUCCCAAGAAACAAAAAUAUCUUCUGUUGAAUCUGACAAUUAAUCUUAAUGGUUGCACAGUCGUCUCAAAUAAAACUGUGAAGGACCUCGGCGUUACUCUGGACCCUGAUCUCUCUUUUGACGAACAUAUCAAGAUUGUUUCAAGGACAGCUUUUUUCCAUCUACGUAACACUGCAAAAAUCAGAAACUUUCUGUCCAAAAAUGAUGCAGAAAAAUUAAUCCAUGCUUUUGUUACUUCUAGGUUAGACUACUGCAAUGCUCUACUUUCCGGCUACCCGGAUAAAGCACUAAAUAAACUUCAGUUAGUGCUAAAUACAGCUGCUAGAAUCCUGACUAGAACCAAAAUAUUUGAUCAUAUUACUCCAGUGCUAGCCUCCCUAAACUGGCUUCCUGUCAAGGCAAGGGCUGAUUUCAAGGUUUUACUGCUAACCUACAAAUCAUUACAUGGGCUUGCUCCUACCUAUCUCUCUGAUUUGGUCCUGCCGUACAUACCUACACGUACGCUACGGUCACAAGACACAGACCUCCUAAUUGUCCUUAGAAUUUCUAAGCAAACAGCUGGAGGCAGGGCUUUCUCCUAUAGAGCUCUAUUUUUAUGGAAUGGUCUGCCUACCCAUGUGAGAGACGCAAACUCGGUCUCAACCUUUAAGUCUUUACUGAAGACUAAUUUCUUCAGUGGGUCAUAUGAUUGAGUGUAGUCUGGCCCAGGAGUGUGAAGGUGAGUGGAAAGGCUCUGGAGCAACGAACCGCCCUUGCUGUCUCUGCCUGGCCGGUUCCCCGCUUUCCACUGGGAUUCUCUGCCUCUAACCCUAUUACAGGGGCUGAGUCACUGGCUUACUGGUGCUCUUUCAUGCCGUCCCUAGGAGGGGUGCGUCACUUGAGUGGGUUGAGUCACUGAUGUGAUCUUCCUAUCUGGGUUGGCGCCCCCCCUUGGGUUGUGCCGUGGCGGAGAUCUUUGUGGGCUAUACUCGGCCUUGUCUCAGGCUGGUAAGUUGGUGGUUGAAGAUAUCCCUCUAGUGGUGUGGGGGCUAUGCUUUGGAAAAGUGGGUGGGGUUAUAUCCUUCCUGUCUGGCCCUGUCCGAGGGUAUCAUCGGAUGGGGCCACAGCGUCUCCUGACCCCUCCUGUCUCAGCCUCAAGUAUUUAUGCUGCAGUAGUUUAUGUGUCUGGGGGCUAGGAUCAGUUUGUUAUAUCUGGAGUACAUCUCCUGUCUCUAUUCGGUGUCCUCUGUAAAUUUAAGUAUGCUCUCUCUAAUGCUCUCUUUCUUCAUCUCUCUCGGAGGACCUGGGCCCUAGGACCAUGCCUCAGGACUACCUGGCAUGAUGACUCCUUACUGUCCCCAGUCCACCUGGCCGUGCUGCUGCUCUAUUUUCAACUGUUCUGCCUGCGGCUAUGGAAUCCUGACCUGUUCACCGGACGUGCUACCUGUCCCAGACCUAUUAUCUGACCAUGCUGGUCAUUUAUGAACAUUUGAACAUCUUGGCCAUGUUCUGUUAUAAUCUCCAACCGGCACAGCCAGAAGAGGACUGACCAUCCCUCAUAGCCUGGUUCCUCUCUAGGUUUCUUCCUUGGUUUUGGCCUUUCUAGGGAGUUUUUCCUAGCCAACGUGGUUCAACACCUGCAUUGCUUGCUGUUUGGGGUUUUAGGCUGGGUUUCUGUACAGCACUUUGAGAUAUCAGCUGAUGUACGAAGGGCUAUAUAAAUACAUUUGAUUUGAUUUGAGAUACUGUUUGUUGCUGUGCUCAUGACCAUCAUCAUGAUAGAGGAGAUAUCUUUGUGUCAGGCAUCAGGGGUGAAGUAGCACUGUGGUGUAAUAACAGGCUGCAGACACCUCACCCAUCUCACAGUCACACACUACAUACAAAAGAGAGAUUACAUGAGACUGUCAUUCACACAUACAUUGGCCUUGGUUAUCUUGUAAAUAAUCCCGUACAUUGCCUAUAUAUCUAAGUUAUGGCCGUAACUACAUAUGAAAACAGAGGUCUGGACCUUAGUUAUUUUUCUAAUUUGAAAAAAAUAAUAACAGAAAUAUAUAUUUUGUACACAAUAAAGAAAAUCAAUAUCUAAAUAUUGCUCCCAGCAUUGAUCAAAGCUCAGGAAGCUUAUAUUUUUGAUCUGACGGAGCUUAAUCGCGCCAACUUCUUUGCGAACCAGUGGAAUCAUAAACAGUGGUUUGUUUGUUAUAUUAGCCUGCGUCCCCAGAUUUGCCUUUUUAGCAGCACAUUCACCACUCUCUCAAACAGCUAACUCCCCCCUCAUGCAGCACGGACCUGAGAUGUGAUAUGAACUACCCCAGCUCACAGUCCGCUAAGGUAGGCCACUAGAGACGCUGCUGACAGUGUGUUUGCUAGAUGUCAGACAAAAGGCCAUUUUAAAAUUGUCCUGUGACUCCUGCAGAGAGCUACUGGGAGACAGUGAUGUGAGCAUGUGGCUCUCAGUGGUGAGGCUGAGGCAGGCUGCAGGCAUGCAGGAGGAAGCAGAGGAGACCGAGAGAGGAGACAGAGAGAGGAAGCAAGCAGGGGGAGAGGUUAGUAGAGUGGUUCCCAAACUUGGAGUCAGGCCCCAUGUGGGUUCCCCUGAGAAAAUCUGUACUAAUCUUACCAAACAAGUUAGGAACUUAAAAAAUAUAUAAUAUGUUUCAAUAUGAACAUCUCCAUAUGGCCUAUCUUCCCUACAGGCCUACUGUCACACCUGCUCCAGCCCCCCCCUCCCUGGCGAGCGCCAGGCUCCCCAGCAUUACGCACACCUGCCUUCCCUCCGGCACGCAGUGUUGCCACAGAAUGUAUUGUGAGCAAGGCCUCAAAAAGCUUUACAUACCGGAGCUGCGAGAAAAGUUCUAGAUAUUAUUGAAACAAUGUUGUGAUUGUGGUUCCAGUGGGGGAAAGAUUCUAUUGGGUAAAGGUUCCCCUGGGGGUUGCCAUGGAAGCCAAGAAGGGAAGUGAGGUGUGUGUGUAUACGUGUGCUCAAUGAGGAAUGGGAAUUUGCCUGAACUCAAUUUCAUACACUAAGUGUAGUCUCACCCAUUCAUUUCUAAUGACCGGUCAUUUUUGACCGGGAACACCACAGGUGUACAAAAGUUAAAUAAAACACCCAAAAUGUUAAGUCAUGGAACCUUAUGACAAUCAGAUUAAAUUAACUACAUUUUUCAGAGAGAACUUGUAAAUCGGUCCAAAUCGACCGAAACACAGCAGGAGGGUUAAAAACGUGUUGUGUAUUUGAGGUUUAAAAAGGCUUCUGAAGUUAGUCAUUUCUACUUUAAAAUGUCAGACUUGAUUUUCACAUGUGAAAAAUAUAUCAACCCCUUGAAAAAUGUCCUUUAUUUGUUGUGGGUUUGAUUCCCACAGUGGACCACUAUGAAAAAAGUAUGAGAACGUUUGAACUCAACUUCUAAGUCCCUCUGGAUAAGAGCGUCUGCUAAAAUGUAGAGCAACUGUAGAGGCUGGCCCUUGUGAUAACUCUCCAUCAUCUUAAAUAUAAACAAACGUGACACUAAUCAAAUGUCCCAGUUUACAUGAGCACCGAUUUAAACUUGCUCUUCUCCUGACAGGCUAAUUAAAUCUGAUGUUUUUCACAGCGGAAGGAUGAAACGGUGCUGAGGUCACAGGGACUGCUGAAGUGUAUAGGCCUAUGAAUGUACAUCAGAGACCGACAACAGGAAAACACAUUCUGCAGUGAUCUCACUGGCUGCACUGAGCUACACACAACUACUCAACUCUUCUACCAAUUAACAUCACUGAAUCCCUGAGGUUACUGGAGGAUCGUCAGAGAAGGGGUAUACAGUAGCCUAUUACUAUAGUGUAGCCGGAGGACAACUAGCAACCGCAGGGCUCUCCAGAUGGUGUUGCGGUCUGCCCAACACAUCACCGGGGGCUCACUGCCUGCCUUCCAGGACACCUACAGCACCCAAUGUCACAGGAAGGCCAAAAGAUAAUCAAGGACAACAACCACCAGAGCCACGGCCUGUUCACCCCACUAUCAUCUAGAAGGCGAGUCCACCUGGCCAUGCUGCUGCUCCAGUUUCAACUGACCUGAGCCCUAGGACCAUGCCCCAGGACUACCUGACAUGAUGACUCCUUGCUGUCCCCAGUCCACCUGACUGUGCUGCUGCUCCAGUUUCAACUGUUCUGCCUUGUUAUUAUUCGACCAUGCUGGUCAUUUAUGAACAUUUGAACAUCUUGGCCAUGUUCUGUUAUAAUCUCCACCCGGCACAGCCAGAAGAGGACUGGCCACCCCACAUAGCCUGGUUCCUCUCUAGGUUUCUUCCUAGGUUUUGGCCUUUCUAGGGAGUUUUUCCUAGCCACCGUGCUUCUACACCUGCAUUGCUUGCUGUUUGGGGUUUUAGGCUGGGUUUCUGUACAGCACUUUGAGAUAUCAGCUGAUGUACGAAGGGCUAUAUAAAUAAAAUUUGAUUUGAUUUUGAUUUGAUUUUGACAUCUAGUGGAAGGCAUAGGAACUGCAAAUGGAGUCCUAAGUCAAUGGAUACUGUAAUGGCAUUGAAUAGAAAACUACAAAACCAACAAAUAAAAUACUUCCUGAAUGGAUUUUUCUCAGGUUUUCGCAGUGUUUUCUAUCCAAAUCUACCAGUUAUAUGCAUAUCAUAUCUUCUGGGCCUGAGUAGCAGGCAGUUUAAUUUGGGCAUGCUUUUCAUCCAAAAUUCAGAAUGCUGCCCCGUACCCUAGAGGUUUUAAAUUAAGAGCCUAGUUGGUUUAGCCACAGAAAAAGUCAGCAACCUUCCCGCUAGCCAUGAUUGGCUGAGCUAAUGAGCGAGCUGGACAUGCCAAGAGAUGAGUUCAGAUUGGUCUGCCAUAUAGCACGCUUCUGUCUAUUUGAGUUGGUCAGUAUGUGCAGGUAAUCCUGUCUAACGUGGCUUUUUUUAAAUGUAUCGAGUAGUAGAACUGCAUAAGCGUUGCUCUCCACCUUCUGGACCGAGUUUUGAAAUCAGUGGAAUUAGAGUAUGAUAGCUAAGGAGAUGGAGAAAACACCUGUCUCCGGAUUACAUCUUCAAACUAAGGGCAACCAUUGCAUCCGUGACAGGAAGAGGCGUCCAUCCAUUACGUAUACGGAUAAGAUAGUCCAGCUAGCUACGUUUACAGAUAUUACACGGUAAACCAACAGAAAGUCAUUUUCAUUUCAAGUUAAAGUGUACUGUUAGCUAGCUGGCUCGCUAGCUAAUGUUAUGAGUAUGAUCUUAUUAUUCAUAUCUCAGAGCCAUUUGCUUUGUGAGUUGUAGCCGAAUGUCAGCUAGCUAACAUAGAACCUGGUUGGUUAGCUAUCUGCAGAUUCAUGCAGGGUAGUAUGCAAGUAUCCAUUUCAAUAGAAUGUCACUGUGACAACUGUUGGGUACAUUGACUUUAAUUCUGGGUAGAUUGUCUUCAAUACAAAACUUAGGAGGCUCAUGGUUCUCACCCCCUUCCGUAGACUUACACAGUAAUUAUGACAACUUCCGGAGGAUGUCUUCCUACCUAUCAGAGCUCUUGCAGCAUGAACUGACAUGUUGUCCACCAAAUCAAAGGAUCAGAGUAUGAAUCUAGUACUGAAAACAUAAGCUACAGCUUGCUAGCACUGCAGUGCAUAACAUAUGCUGAGGGGGUUUUUCAAAGAGAGAAAUAAAGUUUUGAACAAAUCAAUUUCUUCCAAAGUGAAGGAGAAGCAAGAGAGAGAGGUAGCUAUAUUUAGUUGUAUUUCUUUCUUCACUUUUUUAGCCUACUCCAACACACAGCUCAAUGAGAAAGGGGUGCUAGGUUAGCUAGGUGGCUAUGGCUAUCCACCACUGGAACUCUUCCAAGUCAAGUUAAGCUUUUGAUUUUAUAAAUGUAUUGCCACCGGAGCCCGCUGGUGUAACUGCUAAACUGUACUGCAUGAUUGUAGCGGGUUUACUAACGUGUUAGUUCUAGUAGCUAUGUUGACUAUGACGUGACAACGAUGUAGACUGUGUGUAGCAGUUAGCAGUCAUGAUAUGAACGUUUGACUUGGAAAGUUUUUUUUUCUCGCCUGGUCACAGUCUACAAGCGAAGGGAAAAUGUGAGAAGAGGAGAACUUGAACUUGAUAGAUUGUUGCAAAAAGGAAUUAUAUAUACAAUGAGAAAAUUGAUCAUGCUGUUUUUAUGUGGCUGCUAUGAAAGUGAACUGUGUUUGUGUGUGAUCAGAGGUGUAUUCAUUCCACUGAUUCUGUUGAAAAACGUUUCUUAGAAAAUGGAACGAAGAUAAACAUACCUGAAUUUGUCCAAUGGAAACUCUUGUUUGCAACUGUGAGACUAAUGAUUACACCCUAGAUCAACUAGAUGUAGGCAAGAGUGUGCAUGGCGGUAUUGAAUGUAUCACUGUCACCUUGAUUACGCACAAUUCUCUCAACCUGUGUGUACCUACAUUGUAAAGUCUCAUUCAUAGGCUAGGUUGUAGCAAUCUUAUGAUGGGUACAGGAAUAAUUUAAGUAUCAUGUAGUAACCUAAAUCUAUCGCUGUUACAUUGAGCUGGGUGAAUGAAAUAUGAAUGACAGUUAUCUAAUAUGCUGUAAUGGAAAUAAGGCCAUGAUCAUUAACAAAAGAAUCAUCCUCCCUCAUCUUAAAUGGCACCGACCACCACUGCCUGAGGUACUGGAUAGCUGUAAGAUACAGUAGCACAAAUAGCAGACACCUACUGUCUGAGCUGGGAUGAAAAACAAUGAGGCAUGAAGCACACACAUCAUCCCACCAGAUCAGAGAGAGCGUGGGACAUGACAAGUCUCAUGCCUGAAAAAGGAGAGGAGAUUUGUUCAGGGAAGAAGAGAGAGUGAGGGAUGGGAAAGGGGGAGGCAGAUAUGUAAGAAAAAGAGAGAGAAAAUCCUCACAUGCAGCCUCAGAACCUGCUGACUCACUGCAACCUCCAUGGGCUGGCUCUGGCUCCCCUUCAGAAGGACAAAGUGACACUUCCCAUCGUACUCCACGCGCGAUGAUGGGAAGCUUUAAAUAAAAGACGGGCAUAAAACCGCAUUAAGGCUAUAAUGGCGCCAGAGGGGAUGGCUGCCAUUUUACAGGCUCCUAACCAACUGUGCUAUUUUUAUGUUUAUAUUUUUUUGUAACUCAUUUUGGUACAUAAUGUUGCAGCUACCCUCUCUUAUGACCGAAAAGAGCUUCUGGACAAAGAUUUUUUAUUUAAUGAGUCCCACACGAAGGAUAUAAUGCUUUGUUAAGACAAGGCCCAAAUUCCAUUGUUGGUUAAUUAAGGGCUUGUAAGUAAGCAUUUCACAGUAAGGUCUACACCUGUUGUA